rnacentral:rRNA from 1 species
GAUGAACGCUGGCGGCGUGCUUAACACAUGCAAGUCGAACGAGAAGUGAAGACGGAACCCUUCGGGCGGAAGGCUUUAUUUCGAGUGGCGGACGGGUGAGUAACGCGUGGGUAACCUGCCUCAUACAGGGGGAUAACAGUUGGAAACGACUGUUAAUACCGCAUAAGACCACAGCACCGCAUGGUGCGGGGGUAAAAACUCCGGUGGUAUGAGAUGGACCCGCGUUCGAUUAGCCAGUUGGCGGGGUAACGGCCCACCAAAGCGACGAUCGAUAGCCGAUCUGAGAGGAUGACCGGCCACAUUGGGAAUGAGACACGGCCCAAACUCCUACGGGAGGCAGCAGUGGGGAAUAUUGCACAAUGGGGGAAACCCUGAUGCAGCGACGCCGCGUGAGUGAAGAAGUAUUUCGGUAUGUAAAGCUCUAUCAGCAGGGAAGAAAAUGACGGUACCUGAGUAAGAAGCCCCGGCUAACUACGUG